rnacentral:rRNA from 2 species
GUCUAGAACGACUCUCGGCAACGGAUAUCUCGGCUCUUGCAUCGAUGAAGAACGUAGCGAAAUGCGAUACUUGGUGUGAAUUGCAGAAUCCCGUGAACCAUCGAGUCUUUGAACGCAAGUUGCGCCCGAAGCCAUUAGGCUAAGGGCACGCCUGCCUGGGUGUCACCAA